ensembl:lncRNA
UGAAGAAAAUGUUGACAGAUGAUGUAGUUGGAUGUCAGUCUGCCAGUAGCAACAGUACAGCAACUCACAACACCUCUGCUCAGACUUAAAAGAAAACAUCAUACAUAGUCACUUCGCAGGAAGGCGGAGGCUAACGGCUUCGCCUCUUCUACAGACUUUCUGCUCAGGUUGCCCUGGAGCUUCCAUCCGCCUUCAGGAAAAUGCAGGAAGGACUGGCACAGCCUUUUAGCAAUUCAAGAUGGAAAAAGUUAUAUGGUUACCCUCCAUAUGGGAGGAUGCGGGGACAUGUGAGAGAUUAAACCGGCUCACUUCAGGAUCUGAAUGAUCUCAAGAGCAAAUCACACUGCAGGAGCCAAAUCUUGAGUGGGCUAUUGGGACCACUUAACACAUGUACAGAAGCUUUAAAAAAGCAGCAACACUGACAGAUAGCUGCCAUUUGAAGAGUCUUUUAACAUCAAAACAAAAUCUCAAACUAUACCCCUUCAGCAACAGUCUGAGCAAAUAGGAUAGCAUUGCCCACAUCGCUGGUUGUGCCUUCUGGAGAUGCUGCUCAAAAGAAUCUCGAGCUGAAAAUAUCCACCCUUCACCUGCCUGCAUUCAAACUGAGAUCCAAACACACCUCAUCCCUCAGCCUCCAGGAUGGCAGACCAAGGACAAAAACACAGGGCUGACAGUCUCUAGCAUUAAAAAUCGCAAGUUGGAUACUCAGCAUUCAAAGCUUUACCCUAAAGAUGAUGGAUUCAAAAAUUAAAUGUGUCUCCACAUUUUUUAAGCCACUAUGUUUUCCAAUCAGUCAAGGGCCUUGUUUUGCCUUGCAAAAAGAAAAUGGAGGUGCAUACCUAGGGUCAGAGGAGGAAGGCUGGACAGAUCUUCU